rnacentral:rRNA from 1 species
AACGUAGGAGACAAACGUUAUCCGGAGUUACUGGGCGUAAAGGGCGUGUAGGUGGUUUUGUAAGUCUGGCGUGAAAUUUUUCGGCUUAACCGGGAAAGGUCGUCGGAUACUGCAAGGCUAGAGGACGGUAGAGGCGUGUGGAAUUCCGGGUGUAGUGGUGAAAUGCGUAGAGAUCCGGAGGAACACCAGUGGCGAAGGCGACACGCUGGGCCGUACCUGACACUGAUGCGCGACAGCAUGGGGGAGCAAACAGG